GUGGGGAAUCUUCCGCAAUGGACGAAAGUCUGACGGAGCAACGCCGCGUGAGUGAAGAAGGUUUUCGGAUCGUAAAGCUCUUUCGUUAGGGACGAACGUGCUCUUUGUGAAUAAUGAGGAGUAAUGACGGUACCUAAAUAAGAAGCCACGGCUAACUACGUGCCAGCAGCCGCGGUAAUACGUAGGUGGCAAGCGUUGUCCGGAAUUAUUGGGCGUAAAGCGCGCGCAGGCGGGAUAGCAAGUCUGUCUUAAAAGUGCGAGGCUCAACCUCGUGAGGGGACAGAAACUGGUAUUCUUGAGUGUCGGAGAGGAAAGUGGAAUUCCAAGUGUAGCGGUGAAAUGCGUAGAGAUUUGGAAGAACACCAGUGGCGAAGGCGACUUUCUGGACGAUGUCUGACGCUGAGGCGCGAAAGCUAGGGGAGCGAACGGGAUUAGAAACCCCUGUAGUCC
rnacentral:rRNA from 1 species